AGCUUGCUUCUUUGCUGACGAGUGGCGGACGGGUGAGUAAUGUCUGGGAAACUGCCUGAUGGAGGGGGAUAACUACUGGAAACGGUAGCUAAUACCGCAUAACGUCGCAAGACCAAAGAGGGGGACCUUCGGGCCUCUUGCCAUCGGAUGUGCCCAGAUGGGAUUAGCUAGUAGGUGGGGUAACGGCUCACCUAGGCGACGAUCCCUAGCUGGUCUGAGAGGAUGACCAGCCACACUGGAACUGAGACACGGUCCAGACUCCUACGGGAGGCAGCAGUGGGGAAUAUUGCACAAUGGGCGCAAGCCUGAUGCAGCCAUGCCGCGUGUAUGAAGAAGGCCUUCGGGUUGUAAAGUACUUUCAGCGGGGAGGAAGGGAGUAAAGUUAAUACCUUUGCUCAUUGACGUUACCCGCAGAAGAAGCACCGGCUAACUCCGUGCCAGCAGCCGCGGUAAUACGGAGGGUGCAAGCGUUAAUCGGAAUUACUGGGCGUAAAGCGCACGCAGGCGGUUUGUUAAGUCAGAUGUGAAAUCCCCGGGCUCAACCUGGGAACUGCAUCUGAUACUGGCAAGCUUGAGUCUCGUAGAGGGGGGUAGAAUUCCAGGUGUAGCGGUGAAAUGCGUAGAGAUCUGGAGGAAUACCGGUGGCGAAGGCGGCCCCCUGGACGAAACUGACGCUCAAGUGCGAAGCGUGGGGAGCAACAGGA
rnacentral:rRNA from 1 species